rnacentral:rRNA from 1 species
GGUGACGAAGGCCGAUCUCUGGGCCGAUACUGACGCUGAGGAGCGAAAGCGUGGGGAGUGAACAGGAUUAGAUACCCUGGUAGUCCACGCCGUAAACGUUGGGAACUAGGUGUGGGCGACAUUCCACGUCGUCCGUGCCGCAGCUAACGCAUUAAGUUCCCCGCCUGGGGAGUACGGCCGCAAGGCUAAAACUCAAAGGAAUUGACGGGGGCCCGCACAAGCAGCGGAGCAUGUGGCUUAAUUCGACGCAACGCGAAGAACCUUACCAAGGCUUGACAUACACCGGAAACGUCUGGAGACAGGCGCCCCCAUGUGGUCGGUGUACAGGUGGUGCAUGGCUGUCGUCAGCUCGCGUCGUGAGAUGUUGGGUUAAGUCCCGCAACGAGCGCAACCCUUGUUCUGUGUUGCCAGCAUGCCCUUCGGGGUGAUGGGGACUCACAGGUGACUGCCGGGGUCAACUCGGAGGAAGGUGGGGACGACGUCAAGUCAUCAUGCCCCUUAUGUCUUGGGCUGCACACGUGCUACAAUGGCCGGUACAAUGAGCUGCGAUACCGAGAGGUGGAGCGAAUCUCAAAAAGCCGGUCUCAGUU